rnacentral:lncRNA from 1 species
AAGAAGAGAGCAGAUACCAAAAAUAAAUAAAUAAAAUUAUACAGCAAAUCCCUAAAAUCCAAUUUCCCAUCGGAAUCGGAUUCAUCGGCAAUCAACAACAACAACACACACUCGAAGAAGAAGAAGAAGAAGAAGAAGAAGAAGAAGAAGAAGAAGAAGAAGAAGAAGAAGAAGAAGAAGAAGAAGAAGAAGAAGAAGAAGAAGAAGAAGAAGAAGAAGAAGAAGAAGAAGAUGGGAUUACAAGGUCAACUCUCCGACGUCUCCUCCGAUUCAAUCCCUCUGAUGCUCGUUGCUCUCCUCGCUACUUUCUUCAAACACGUUCGCUCUUUUCUCCUCCGUUUCUCCUCCUCCGGUCCUCAUCUCUCCGUCGACGAUGCUUCUGCCUCGGUUUCUUCAGGACUCGAGAGCCUCGUCGUCCUCGCCGACCAGCUCAAACUCAAUCGCGUAUUCUCCUACCGCUACGCCGAUACCGCCGCCUCCGAUUGCAUCGUCUGUUUGUCUACACUCAAGGCCGGAGAAGAAGUGAGGAAGCUCGAUUGCAGACACGUCUUCCACAAGGAGUGUUUGGAAGGUUGGCUACAACAUCUCAAUUUCAAUUGCCCGCUCUGUAGAU